rnacentral:rRNA from 1 species
CCUACGGGCGGCAGCAGUGGGGAAUUUUGGACAAUGGGGGCAACCCUGAUCCAGCCAUGCCGCGUGCGGGAAGAAGGCCUUCGGGUUGUAAACCGCUUUUGUCAGGGAAGAAAUCUUCCGAGCUAAUACCUUGGGAGGAUGACGGUACCUGAAGAAUAAGCACCGGCUAACUACGUGCCAGCAGCCGCGGUAAUACGUAGGGUGCAUGCGUUAAUCGGAAUUACUGGGGGUGGAGGUGGAACACAGGGUUGAAAUCCCCGGGCUUAACCUGGGAGCUGCAUGUGUGACUGUACGGCUGGAGUACGGCAGAGGGGGAUGGAAUUCCGCGUGUAGCAGUGAAAUGCGUAGAUAUGCGGAGGAACACCGAUGGCGAAGGCAGUCCCCUGGGCCUGUACUGACGCUCAUGCACGAAAGCGUGGGGAGCAAACAGGAUUAGAUACCCGGGUAGUC